rnacentral:rRNA from 1 species
UGGGGAAUAUUGGACAAUGGGCGCAAGCCUGAUCCAGCCACGCCGCGUGAGUGAUGAAGGCCUUCGGGUCGUAAAGCUCUGUGGGGAGGGACGAACCGCCGAUGGUUCAUAGCCAGCGGCAUGACGGUACCUCCUUAGCAAGCACCGGCUAACUUCGUGCCAGCAGCCGCGGUAAUACGAAGGGUGCAAACGUUGCUCGGAAUUAUUGGGCGUAAAGCGCACGUAGGCGGCUUAGCAAGUUGGAUGUGAAAUCCCUCGGCUUAACCAAGGAAGUGCAUCCAAAACUGCUGAGCUGGAGUACUUAAGAGGAUCGCGGAAUUCCCGGUGUAGAGGUGAAAUUCGUAGAUAUCGGGAGGAAAACCAGUGGCGAAGGCGGCGAUCUGGGAAGAUACUGACGCUGAGGUGCGAAAGCGUGGGGAGCAAACAGG